CACCAACUUGUAGUGCUCACGUUGUACAGGAGCCUAAAAGUACUUUCCUCUACUUCGAUUUAGAGACAACUGGUUUAGGCACAGAAUCCAGCAUAGUGGAACUUGCUUGUGUCUGCAAGGAUAACAUCUUUCACAGAGUUGUGUGUCAUCCUUAAGCUUGGUAAUGUAUGGUAUAUGAAUGUAAGUAUUACUUCUUUGCUCUGUGCACCAACUGAUAAUUACUGUAAGUAUCUUUUGUGUUGUGUCAUUGUUUUUACUAUAUGUGUGUCUGUGUCGGACUAUCCAUGUUGUGUGCUUUAUAAUUCUGCUUAAUCCUUCUCUCUUUUUAUGUUUUUUAGCUCACCUGAGCCGAAGGCUCAAGUGAGCUUUUCUGAUCACAUUUUGUCCGGCGUCCGUCUGUCUGUCUGUCUGUCUGUCUGUCUGUCUGUCUGUCUGUCUGUCUGUCCGUCUGUCUGUCUGUCUGUAAACUUUUCACAUUUUCGACUUCUUCUCAAGAACCGCUGGGCCAAUUUCAACCAAACUUGCCACAAAGUAUCUUUGGGUGAAGGGGAUUCAAGUUUGUUCAAAUGAAGAGCCACGCGCUCAUUCAAAGGGAGAUAAUUGGGAACUAAUGAAAAUUUAGUGGCAUAUUUUAAAAAAUCUUCUUCUCAAGAACCACUGUGCCAGGAAAGAUGAAACUUAUGGGGAAUCAUGCUCAGGUAGAGUAGAUUCAGAUUUGUUCAAAUCAUGACCCCUGGGGGAAGGGCGGGGCUAAAAUGGCCGACCAAAGUUUUACAUAGAAAUAUAUAGGAAAAUUCUUUAAAAAUCUUCUUCUCAAGAAUGACAAAGCCAUAAUUCAUUAUAUUUAUAUGGAAGCAUGUUCAGGUAGUGUAGAUUCAAGUUUGUUCAAAUCAUGACCCCCCGGGGUAGGGCGGGGCCAAAAUGGCCGACCAAAGUUUUACAUAGAAAUAUAUAGGAAAAUUCUUUAAAAAUCUUCUUCUCAAGAAUGACAAAGCCAUAAUUCAUCAUAUUUAUAUGGAAGCAUGUUCAGGUAGUGUAGAUUUAAAUUUGUUCAAAUCAUGACCCCUGGGGGUCGAGGGGGGCCAAAAUGGCCGACCAAAGUUUUACAUAGAAAUAUAUAGGAAAAUUCUUUAAACAUCUUCUUCUCAAGAAUGACAAAGCCAUAAUUCAUCAUAUUUAUAUGGAAGCAUGCUCAGGUAGUGUAGAUUCAAGUUUGUUCAAAUCAUGACCCCCCGGGUGUAGCGUGGGGCCAAAAUGGCCGACCAAAGUUUUACAUAGAAAUAUAUAGGAAAAUUCUUUAAACAUCUUCUUCUCAAGAAUGACAAAGCCAUAAUUCCUCAUAUUUAUAUGGAAGCAUGCUCAAGUAGUGUAGAAUCAAAUUUGUUCAAAUCAUGACCCCAGGGGUAGAGCGGGGCCAAAAUGGCCGACCAAAGUUUUUAAAGAUAUAUAUAGGAAAAUUCUUCAAAAAUCAUUUUCUAAAAAAUAGCAAAUCCAUGAUUGGUCAUGGGACUACUUUUGGAUUUAAACUUUACAAUAAAAAGCCAUUUUCUACUUUUUCCUACCCUUAGUGCUCAUUUGAGCGAUGUGGCCCAUGGCAGGGGUAGACAAAUACAAUUUUGCAGUACUUGCCCUCGGACAGGUUACUAUCGUAAAACUACCUGUCCUACCAAAAAAUAUGCUUGUCCCACCUUUUUACCGGCCGCCAGGAGGCGGUCUGUUAGUUGAUAUGAAAGUUUCAAGUGGCCGUGCGUUU